UACGAAGGGGGCUAGCGUUGCUCGGAAUCACUGGGCGUAAAGAGCUCGUAGGCGGCUUGUUGCGUCGUCCGUGAAAACCUGUGGCUCAACUACAGGCUUGCGGUCGAUACGGGCGGGCUGGAGUUCGGUAGGGGAGACUGGAAUUCCUGGUGUAGCGGUGAAAUGCGCAGAUAUCAGGAGGAACACCGGUGGCGAAGGCGGGUCUCUGGGCCGAUACUGACGCUGAGGAGCGAAAGCGUGGGGAGCAAACAGG
rnacentral:rRNA from 1 species